rnacentral:piRNA from 1 species
UCAGCAGAGUGAAGUCUUUGUUUUUGGUGU